AAGUGAAAUGAUGGUAACCAUCUUUCGGGACUGACCUGAAAUGGAGAGAACUUUCUUUCUGAUCGCUU